UACGGAGGGUGCAAGCGUUAAUCGGAAUUACUGGGCGUAAAGCGUGCGUAGGCGGUUUUUUAAGUCAGAUGUGAAAGCCCUGGGCUUAACCUGGGAACUGCAUUUGAUACUGGAAGACUAGAGUUUAGUAGAGGGGAGUGGAAUUUCAGGUGUAGCGGUGAAAUGCGUAGAGAUCUGAAGGAACACCAGUGGCGAAGGCGGCUCCCUGGACUAAAACUGACGCUGAGGUACGAAAGCGUGGGUAGCAAACAGG
rnacentral:rRNA from 1 species